rnacentral:rRNA from 1 species
GACGAACGCUGGCGGCGUGCCUAAUACAUGCAAGUCGAGCGAAGUUUUUCUGGUGCUUGCACUAGAAAAACUUAGCGGCGAACGGGUGAGUAACACGUAAAGAACCUGCCUCAUAGACUGGGACAACUAUUGGAAACGAUAGCUAAUACCGGAUAACAGCAUUAACUGCAUGGUUGAUGUUUAAAAGUUGGUUUUGCUAACACUAUGAGAUGGCUUUGCGGUGCAUUAGCUAGUUGGUGGGGUAAAGGCCUACCAAGGCGACGAUGCAUAGCCGACCUGAGAGGGUGAUCGGCCACACUGGGACUGAGGCACGGCCCAGACUCCUACGGGAGGCAGCAGUAGGGAAUCUUCCGCAAUGGGCGAAAGCCUGACGGAGCAACGCCGCGUGAGUGAAGAAGGAUUUCGGUUCGUAAAGCUCUGUUGUUAGGGAAGAAUGAUUGUGUAGUAACUAUACACAGUAGAGACGGUACCUAACCAGAAAGCCACGGCUAACUACGUG